GCUCUUUCCUGCAUCCCACACAAAAGACCAACAGACGCCUUCGAGAAAUAUGUGUGUGUGUGUGUGUCCAGAUGCCAUGCAUGGGAUCAGUGAAUUCUCCAUCCAGAUGAUCCAUAUAGCAACCUGUCAUGGUAGCAGUGUACAGCAUGUUUAGAGGUAAACACAGCAUACAUGAAACCUAUGGCUAAAACAGAAUAGCUAGCUAUCCAAGACAUCUGUUAUGAUGCAAUAGGUCUCAGUUAAGAACACAUGAACCCACUGCACUCAAAUGUAAUGUUUUCAUUAAGUAGGAAGUAUGAAAAAUGCUUACAAACUAUGAAGUAUGUUUACUAAGUAUGAAGUUUGCUUACUAAAUAUGAAGUAUGAUCACGAAGUAGAAAGUACGCUUACUUGAAGUAUGCUUAUUGAAGAUUUUACUGUAUGUGUGCUGUAUUUUGCUCUAUUUACAGUAUGUUGUAUUUAGCUUUAUCUAUGUUUACUCAACAGAGUUGUAUCUAUGCUUUCAUGUACAAUGUGAGAUCUUUUGUACCAAACAGUCAGCAUCAACUGCCCCCACAAAUGGCCGCUGUAUUCUACUCAGGCAUUAACAGAGACGACUGCACAUUGAUGCUACUGUACAUGCGGAGUCAGCCAACAUUCCACACCCCAGCCAGGACCCGCCUGCUGCCCUUUUAUGGGUUGAAGCUGCAUGGUCGGGCAUCAUGGGUGCUGCAUUGUAUAUCAGAAAAAAACAUCUCUAGGUUAAUUUCUUAUGCUACUCAAAACCAAGAAAAAGUAGAAUGAUAGGAAGGUAGAUGGACUGGCUACUCAAAAGCUAGAAGUAUGUAAAAACAUAGGAUGAUUGAUGUAGGGAAGAACGAUACAGUACGAUAGAUUUGGGAAAGAGAGAAGGAUAGGAGGAUAGAUGGAGGCAAAGAGGACAAGAAAAUAGGUCAGGAGGAUAGAUGGAGGGAAGGAUAGGAGGAUAGAUGGAGGGAAGGUUAGGAGGAUAGAUGGAGGGAAGGUUAGGAGGAUAGAUGGAGGGAGGGAAGGAUAGGAGGAUAGAUGGAGGGAAGGAUAGGAGGAUAGAUGGAGGGAAGGUUAGGAGGAUAGAUGGAGGGAAGGAUAGGAGGAUAGAUGGAGGGAAGGUUAGGAGGAUAGAUGGAGGGAAGGAUAGGAGGAUAGAUGGAGGGAAGGAAGGUUAGGGAGAUAGAUGGAGGGAGGGAAGGUUAGGAGGAUAGAUGGAGGGACGAUCAAGAGGAUAGAUGGAGGGAAGGUUAGGAGGAUAGAUGGAGGGAAGGUUAGGAGGAUAGAUUGAGGGAAGGUUAGGAGGAUAGAUGGAGGGACGAUCAAGAGGAUAAAUGGAGGGAAGGUUAGGAGGAUAUAUUGAGGGAAGGUUAGGAGGAUAGAUGGAGGGAGGGAAGGUUAGGAGGAUAGAUGGAGGGAAAGUUAGGAGGAUAGAUGGAGGGACGAUCAAGAGGAUAGAUGGAGGGGAGGUUAGGAGGAUAGAUGGAGGGAGGGAAGGUUAGGAGGAUAGAUGGAGGGAAGGUUAGGAGGAUAGAUGGAGGGAGGGAAGGUUAGGAGGAUAGAUGGAGGGAUGAUCAAGAGGAUAGAUGGAGGGAAGGUUAGGAGGAUAGAUGGAGGGAAGGUCAGGAGGAUAGAUGAGGGAUGGUUAGGAGGAUAGAUUGAGGGAAGGUUAGGAGGAUAGAUUGAGGGAAGGUUAGGAGGAUAGAUGGAAGGAGGGAAGGUUAGGAGGAUAGAUGGAGGGACGAUCAAGAGGAUAGAUGGAGGGAAGGUUAGGAGGAUAGAUGGAGGGAAGGUCAAGUGGAUAGAUGGAGGGAAGGUCAAUAGGAUAGAUGGAGGGAAGGUCAAGUGGAUAGAUGGAGGGAAGGUCAAGAGGAUAGAUGGAGGGAAGGUCAAGAGGAUAGAUGGAGGGAAGGUCAAGAGGAUAGAUGGAGGGAAGGUCAAGUGGAUAGAUGGAGGGAAGUUUAAGAGGAUAGAAUGAUGGAUGAAAGGGAAAGAAGGAGGGAGGGAGAACAAGGUAAGGACAGACAACAAACAGCAUGACAAAAACAGCCUCCUGACAUGCUAGUAAAAGGAGAAGUGUGGCUUUGUUCCAGACUGUUGUGUGUGUGUGUGUUCUCUGGAGCAGAGCCCAGUGUUCUGACAUGUGUUUCUGUUUAUUAAUGAGUCUGGAGGCGCUGCCAAUGAAUGAUGAGUUUCCUUUCUCUCUCCCUCUGUUCUCCUUUUCUCUGUCCUCUCUUUCUCUGUCUCUCUCUCUCUCUUUGACCUCUUUCUCUCUCUCUGUGUCACACACACCCACAUGCACACACACACAUGCACACACAAUCUUGUACAGCUAACCUUGUGGGGAUACACAAUUCAGUUCCAUUCAAAGUUCUAUUUUCCCUAAUCCCUAAAUGAAACCCUAACCCUAACCUUAACCCAAAAACCGAACCUUAACUCUAACCCUAAAACUAACCUCAGCUCCUAACCGUAAGCCUUAACGUAAUUCUAACCCUAACACUAAUUCUAACCUUAAUCAUAAACCCCUUAGAAAUAGCAUUUGAACUUGUGGGGACAAACAAAAUAUCCACAGUUGGUCACAUUUUUGUUGUUUACAAUUCUUGUGGGGACUUCUGUUAAACACGUCCACACCCACACACACACUACAUCCCAGCGCCUGACCCUCAGCACGCCAUAAAUCUGACUUCAAGGGCGGUGUCGGCGUUGGCGAGAACAGGAUAUGAGAGCGUGGCCCUCUCAAAAUCUUCCCCUCCAGAUGAGAACAAAAUGUAGAGAAUGUUCCAGAUGCCGCGGCCGCUACAGUCUAGGAACAUGUGGAGCCAAGAGCUGGAAAACGAGCAGCCCUUCCUAUCUUUUCCCCCUUCUUUCCAUGCAUUUUCUCUCUGUUGUCUAACUUAUCCGUCUCUGUUUUUGGGCUGUUGGUAGGCUAGCUUUUUGUUUCGUACUGUUAUCUCUUUGAUAGUGUCUCCUUAUCUUGUUAUCUUGUCACUCUCCUCUUCCUUCCACUUCUGUCUAGCAUCUUAAAACACACACACACACACACAUUGAGACAAACAUACACACACACACACACACACAUUGAGGUAGAGACAAACACACACACACACACACACACACAUUGAGGUAGAGACAAACACACACACACACACACACAUUGAGGUAGAGACAAACACACACACACACAAACAUACAUAUGUACAAACACACAAAGACAGAGUGACACACACACACACACACACAUUGAGGUAGAGACAAACACACACACACACACAUACAUAUGUACAAACACACAAAGACAGAGUGACACACACACACACAUCCCUCAGACAGGAUUAUCCCACUCUCACAAGUUGAUCCUCUCUGGCAAGCACUGCCAGUCCCCUCUGAGCAUGGAACAGAAGCACUACUGUCAGGGCAGAGCUGUGACCUAGAGAGUAGUAUGUCUGUGUGUGUGUGUGGGUCUCUGUUUGUGUGUGUGUAUCCCUCUGUGUGUUUGUGUGUGUGUGUCUCCCGUUGUUUGUUUGGGUGUGUCAGGUCACAGGCCAAGGUCUCCAACCUGAUCCGCUCUGAGGCAAUCGGCCUGCGAGUGCAUUAAGAGAUUGCGGGGGGGACGCCGAGCCGAGGCUCACUGGCUCGACUUAAAGACAUACACAUAAUCCUGGCUGCUCUGCUGUGGUCUGCUCCACCUGACAAGGAUAAGUGUGGCAGGUGUGUCUGUCAGGGACUGUGUGUGUGUGUGUGUGUGUGUGUGUGUGUGUGUGUGUGUGUUUGUGCGUAUCCUCUCUGAGCUGUACCCCACCUACGCCCUCUCAGGCGUGCCCCUGUCCUUGGACACCCUUACCCGCCCUAGAGUCACUUCAUCUGCCAACUGGAUAAAGAGAGAGAGAGAUAAGGAGGGGUACACAGAGAGAGGGAGAGCGAGACAGAGAGCGAGACAGAGGUAGUCAGACAGACGGAGGGAGAGAGGGAACCAGCCAGUAGAGAGACGUGACAGGACAGAGGUUACCCCACACCCUGAUGUCAUCCUUCCCAGCCUGACCACACAAAGCAUGGUCAGUUAGCUAUAGUCACAAAGCACACCAACACUUAACCAUGCAUUUAAACUAUGGACGCUUGAGAUCUGCAAGUGUACGGUAUGUGUUUAUAAGGUAUGCUACAUAAUUCCACUGUAUGUCACUUGGACUGUGUUCAUUUUGAUAAUAAAUGGAAUUGCACAGAGAGAAAA
ensembl:lncRNA